AGUGAACGCUGGCGGUAGGCCUAACACAUGCCAGUCGAACGGCAGCACAGUAAGAGCUUGCUCUUACGGGUGGCGAGUGGCGGACGGGUGAGGAAUACAUCGGAAUCUACUUUUUCGUGGGGGAUAACGUAGGGAAACUUACGCUAAUACCGCAUACGACCUACGGGUGAAAGCAGGGGAUCUUCGGACCUUGCGCGAUUGAAUGAGCCGAGGUCGGAUUCGCUAGUUGGCGGGGUAAAGGCGCACCAAGGCGACGAUCGGUAGAUGGUCUGAGAGGAUGGUCACCCACACUGUAACUGAGGCAGAGUCCAGACACCUACGGGGGGAAGCAGUGGAGAAUAUUAGGGAAUGGGGGAGAGCCGAAUCCAGCCCUACCGCGUGAGGCAAGAAGGCGUUCGGCUUGGAAAGCCAUUUUGGUGGGAAAGAAGAACAGCAGGUUAAUACCCCGCGGUAAUGACGGUACCCAAAGAAUAAGCACCGGCUAACUUCGUG
rnacentral:rRNA from 1 species